rnacentral:lncRNA from 1 species
UAAUUCUCAUUUAUGAGGUGUGAACCUAAUUCAAGAUUGAUAAUAUUUAAUUCAACAAACAAUCCAGGAUGCAAUCUAACAAUUUGAGGAUACUAAGAAUCAUUCAAAAUCAACAUUCACAAUUCAUAAACCUGUACGUUACAUAAAUCAUAAUCCACUUCACUCAAAGAUUCAACAACAAUUCAUUCCAGGAUCCGUUCACACAUUUGAGGAUACUGAGAAAACAUUCAGGUCAUUCAUAUCUAUAAUUUUCCAAUUCAUAAAACCUGUGCAGUUUAUAAUCAUACAUCAUGUCACUAGAUGAUUCUUAAAAUCCAAAAGCAACUUAACUAAACCAUAACUAUAUCAUAAAUCCAUAAGCGCGGUAAUUAACGCAAUCACAAAACCAACAUGUACUACAUGUUUAUAUCAGUACACAGUUUAGACUUAACAUUUCCAAAAUCCUGACGUAAGAGGUACUUUUCAAAUAUUUACAAGAUACAUCAAUCUAGAUUUGUCAUUGAUAUUUCAUUACACCCAAAAAAAACUUAUACAACAUCAACCUAUCAAGUACAAAAUAUUUGCCCCAAAAUCUUCUAGUCUUCCACUGCCUCAACCCAAUUUACACAUUUUAGUGAGUGAUAAGCUAUCCUGAAAAAUUUAUAUAGCAACGGGGUGAGCAUAUAAAGCUCAGCAAAUGACUAACAUAUCCAUAGCAAAGAGGACAGUUUUCAAACAAAUGAGGUAUCAAAAUACA